CUAUAAAGCAUUAAAAUGGGAGGUGGUCUACUGCGAUAUACACCUUCGUCGCCUCUCGCCGCCUCCUUCUGUCGGCCGGGCUGCGAAGCCUUUGUUUAUAGCACUCGACUGCUUCGGCUUCAAAGCCGGUGCUUUUCCAUUUCCGGACGCCCUUUUGUCCCGAGAGGAAGCUCCACCCCACAGCCCUUCCUCCUUUCAUGGCCUCGACGAGCCAAGCAACCCUCCUCCUCCACAAACAACUCAGAGAUCUCAGCAAGAAUCCGGUGGACGGCUUCUCCGCUGGCCUCGUCGACGAUAAUAACAUCUUUGAGUGGAGCGUCACUAUCAUCGGCCCUCCGGACACGCUGUAUGAUCUUGAUUGGCCAAUCCUUGUGUUGUAGUGAAGGUGGUUAUUUCAAUGCUAUCAUGAGCUUUCCAACAAAUUAUCCCAACAGCCCUCCUACAGUUAGGUUUAUAUCAGAGAUGUGGCAUCCAAAUGUUUACCCUGAUGGUCGAGUUUGUAUAUCAAUUCUUCAUGCUCCCGGGGAAGAUCCUAAUGGCUAUGAGCUUGCAAGUGAGCGUUGGUCACCUGUGCACACGCAUGCUUUGUUCUUUCGUGGAUGCAAGCAAUUCUCAAAAUCACAGAUCAACUUAGCUAUCACUACCAACUUAUGGCAGGGUUGAGAGCAUAGUUUUGAGCAUCAUUUCGAUGCUUUCAAGUCCCAAUGAUGAGUCACCUGCAAAUAUUGAAGCUGCUAAGGAAUGGAGAGAGAGAAGGGACGAAUUCAAGAAGAAAGUCAGUCGUAUCGUUAGAAGAUCGCAGGAAAUGCUUUGAGAACUUUAAAAGCAGGCCUUAUGGUGAGCCACAGCUUCGUGCCUGUUUUGCUGGGAAACUAUAUAUAGGGGGUGUCCUCAAUUUGUUGCUUGUCUAAUGAUGGUUUAAUAGAGCAUCUAGAUCUUUGUUUGGUUUACCAAUGGUGUGCUAUUGUCAUUGUCGUCAUCUCGUUUUUGUUAUAAGAAACAGCAGGAUUCAGAUGUUAACCUAUUUAACACAAAUGGUAUGUCUGUAGAUGUCCUGAUUUAAGGCCUGGUCUCACUCCUUACUUCUGUUUGUUAUUUUUAUUUAUCCAAAAUUGCUUCAGAAUUUAUGAAGCCAACCCUGUUUUAUAAGUCACCUAGAAAAUUAAUGCCCUUGUUAUUGUUGUUGGGGUUUAUAAAUGCGGUUCAAUUUUUUGUUUAA